UGAUGCAGAGGUACAAAGCUCGUCUGGGCAGAUUGUUAUGCAAAUCAAAAGAGGAAGCAGAGCUAGGGGAGCCGAGGAGCUCCUGCUGGGCUCUGCCAGGGAAGAAGCCGCAGUAGGAGCCCCUACGUAGGCCCUGCAGGAGGCCUGGGGUUCAGGAAAGGGCCUGCUGACCAUCCGGUGCAGGGAAAGGAGUCCAGCUCUGGCCUCUGCCCCUCAGCUCCACCUCCUGCAUUCCUAGGAGUUCUCCAGAGGAUCUGAUGGGAGCUCAGAACCGGUCCCAACAGCUCCCUCCACCCUUCAUGAACAGGGGCUGAAAAAUGUGGUCUGCUCUGAUAAGGAUUUGCGUCAGGCUACUGGCUGCUCAGCAGCCGAGAAGAGCAAGCCUCCAGGCCUCUGCACGCGUGCCUUCUGCCCGCCUGCCUGGCCCUCGGAGGCUGCCCAGCGCAUCACAGUACAUCCCACGGUGGCUCCCCAGAUGGAUUCUGACUCAGCAACAGACGCAGCAGGGCAGGCAAAAGGAUGUGGGGGAAACCUCACUGUCGCUCAUCACCACGUCCAUCUGCCUCACCAAGUUCCCAGCAAGGAGUCGGCCCUGAUGGGUGUAUUCCUCAGCCACAGCUCCUCAGUGGGCCAGCAAGGUGACUCGAAGGGCCUCUGCCAUCUCUAAGAUUGGGGAACAGGAAAGAUGGACCUGACCCCACCCCAGCCUGUGGGUCACCACCCAUGGCGGGACAAGUGAGAAAAGUCGGCCUUGCUCACCGCUGGAGCCCAAACCACAGGUUUCAUUUCCCCUGGAUAAAGACAAUGUUUGCUAUUGUUGCAUCUGAUGGUAAAAGCAAGUCAUUUCACUAUCAAAAAGUUUGAAAGGCGGCCGGGCGCAGUGGCUCACACUUGUAUUCCCAGCAUUUUGGGAGGCCGAGGCAGGCAGAUCACGAGGUCAAGAGAUCGAGACCAUCCUGUCCAACAUGGUGAAACCCCAUCUCUACUAAAAAUACAAAAAUUAGAUGGGCAUGGUGGCGUGCGCCUGUAGUUCCAACUACUUGGGAGGCUGAGGCAAGAGAAUCGCUUGAACCCGGGAGGCAGAGGUUGCUGUGAGCCCCAAGAUUGCACCACUGCACUCUAGCCUGGCAACAGAGCGAGACUCCGUCUCAAAAAACAAAAAAAAAGGAAAAUAAGAAUCCAGCCUCAAGCCUGUCACCCAGGAACAAUCACUCUAGUUGGCUGGUGUAUUUCCCUCCAGUCUUUUUUUCAGUGUAUGUAUAUAAACUUUAUUUAUAUAUAUUAUUUUAUAGCCAGCUGCUUUUUUUCUUUUAAUUCUAAAUGAUGGGCUGUUUUUUGUUUUAAAACACUGUAGACCAGCCAAGUGUGGUGGCUUAAACCGGUAAUCCCAGCACUUUUGGAGGCUGAGGUGGGCAGAUCACUUGAGCCCAGGAAUUCAAGACCAGCCUGGGCAACAUGGCAAAACCAUGUCUCUACCAAAAAUAAAAAAAUUAGCCAGGCAUGGUUCCAUGCACCUGUAGUCCCUGCUACUUGGGAGGCUGAGAUGGGAGGAUCACCUGAGCCCAGACAGGUCGAGGCUACAGUGAGCCAUGAUCAUGCCAUCACACUCCAGCCUGGGUGACAAGAGUGAGACCGUCUCAAAAAAAAAAAAAAAACAAACACAGGCUGGGCACAGUGGCUCAUGCCUGUAAUCCCAGCACUUCGGCAGGCCAAGGAAGGUGGAUCACCUGAGGUCAGGAGCUCAAGACCAGCCUGGCCAACACGGCGAAACCCUGUCUCUACUAAAAAUACAAAAAUUAGCCGGGUGUGGUGGCACACGCCUGUAAUCCCAGCUACUUGGGAGGCUGAGGCAUAAGAAUCGCUUGAACCCGGGCGUUGGAGCUUGCAGCGAGCUGAGAUUGUGCCACUGCACUCCAGCCUGGGCGACAGAGCAAGACUGUAUCUCAAAAGAACAAACAAAAACAAAAACCACUGUAGACCAAGCAAACUCAACUCUUCCUCCUCCCAUGCAGUGCUCCCUCUGCCUGUUUCCCCACAUCACCUGUGUGAUGGGGAGUUGGGGGGCACACAGCGAGGCUGAGGACUCAUGGAAUGACCCUUGGGAAGCCAGAAUGGGCACGGGUACACAUUUCCAAGCAGGAGACUCAACUGAUCUACCCACCCCGGGUCCCCAACCACACUGGGAAUCCCCUCCAUGAACGGGAGGAGCCUCUAUCACACACACACACACACACACAGACACACACACACACACACACACACACACACACACACACGGAGACCACAGAGAGAACAUGGGCACCGUGGGCAACUGUUUGAAAAUUUCUGAGCUGCUUCUCAGAUAAAGAGAGCACUCUCAUCUUCCUUGUCCUUCUCCAAAAUCAGCAGAAAUCAAGUUUCUCACCUUCCAAGC